rnacentral:lncRNA from 1 species
GGGACCGCGGGGGCAGGGCUGAGAUUCUGUGUUUUGGUUCCUGGCUCUUGGUUAUUUCUAUAUACAUAUACAUAUAUAUAUUUAAAGAACUGCGCGGGUAGCUCUGCCCCAGGUGGCUUUAUUGCUGCCUAGAAGCAGCACCAGCUCUGUUGGGGGACUUGGGGCUGGGUGUGGUCCUAAGCAGGGCGGCUGAGGCCGCCCCCUGUGACCCACACCUCUGCCCCUCUGGCCAGGCCAGGCUGGGUGACCUUGGUUUAGUGUCUGAGAGUGAAGGGGUAGAAAGAGGGCCCUGGGCUGGCACCCCACUGACACACGGGAUGGCAGGCCCACCUCGGGGCAUUUUUUUUAAUUAAAAUUAAAAAAAAAAAGACAAAGUCAGUGGCGUGUGCCUCUGCAGUGUGUUUCUCCUGUACGUGGUGAGGUUAGGGGCCUGGCCACCCUGCCCGCUGCCUGCUGUCCACUGUCCACCGCAGACCCGCCUUGCUCCACUCUGCCUCCGGCUUCCUUUCACGUCCUUUCUGUCCAGCCGGCCUGGCCCCCGAGGCUGGCACCAGACGCGGGGCGGCGCAGGAGGCGGGGGCAGGCCCGAGGCAGGCCUUUGCUGUGGUGUCUCCCCUGCGGGCCCCUCCUGUAGAUUUUAAUGCUUCUGUUACACUGAAACUCCACCACAGGCUGGGAUUCCAGGCAUAAAACAAAACCAAACACCUGUAACGGCAAGAGCCACUCGGCACAGCGGGAGCGGGGGGGCUUGUUCGGGAGACAGAGCCACGCGGCACAGCGGCAGGGGGGCGGGGGGGGGGGGGGGGGCUUCUCCGGGAGACAGGGGGUGCCGAAAGCAAUACCUCUCCUUGGCCUUCCUCUUUGUACUCCAGACACACGCGGACUCACGCGGACGUCCCCAUCCAGUGUACCCCCUGUCAGAUGACUGUGAGCAACUUCAGUUCCAGAACAAUAAAUUCCUUCCGAAAAGACAAUUGAUGCA